GUUUUUAUAUUUAAGUUUAUUUUUGACUUUAUUUCAUUUUUGUACUUUAUUUUCAGCAUAAAUAGUUAUUUGAUACCUUGUCACAAUGCAGAUCAUAACUUGAGAUACGAGAAUCGGAUUGAUGCGUUCUAAUAGGCGUUGGAAAGAUGAGAGGAUAAGAUAAAAGUUUUAUGUUGAAGUCAGAAGAUGAUUUGGACUGAAGAAGGGUCG
rnacentral:lncRNA from 1 species